GUCUCUAAGGAUGAUUAGAACAAAACUUUCGUUCUUCCGAGACAAUCUAUGCGGAAAAUUUUGGAGACCUGAACUGAAGAGAC